CCUACGGGAGGCAGCAGUGGGGAAUUUUGGACAAUGGGCGCAAGCCUGAUCCAGCAAUGCCGCGUGAGUGAAGAAGGCCUUCGGGUUGUAAAGCUCUUUUGUCAGGGAAGAAACGGUGGGGGCUAAUAUCCCUCGCUAAUGACGGUACCUGAAGAAUAAGCACCGGCUAACUACGUGCCAGCAGCCGCGGUAAUACGUAGGGUGCAAGCGUUAAUCGGAAUUACUGGGCGUAAAGCGUGCGCAGGCGGUUUUGUAAGUCUGUCGUGAAAGCCCCGGGCUCAACCUGGGAAUUGCGAUGGAGACUGCAAGGCUUGAAUCUGGCAGAGGGGGGUAGAAUUCCACGUGUAGCAGUGAAAUGCGUAGAGAUGUGGAGGAACACCGAUGGCGAAGGCAGCCCCCUGGGUCAAGAUUGACGCUCAUGCACGAAAGCGUGGGGAGCAAACAGGAUUAGAUACCCUGGUAGUCCACGCCCUAAACGAUGUCUACUAGUUGUCGGGUUUUAAUUAACUUGGUAACGCAGCUAACGCGUGAAGUAGACCGCCUGGGGAUACGGUCGCAAGNUUAAAACUCAAAGGAAUUGACCGGNNGAGACGNGCGAGACGACGACGAGGAGAGG
rnacentral:rRNA from 1 species